UGGUUUAUAUGGCCAAUCUGCAGAAAGGGGCUCCACCUGUUUCACUCUGUAGCACUGGUUCCUUUCACCUCAUAUCUGCUUUAACUACUGGACUUGGGUUUACUGAGUUCCUGAUCUCUGACUUCAUCUCCUAUUUUUGGCUCUGAAUUUGACCCUUGAACUUGGUAAGAUGACAAGAUCUCGUUUUUCCAGAUUAAUAUUAACCUUUGCCACACCUCCCCAAAUAUAGUUUUACAUUCACCCUCUGGCUUUGUUCCCUCCCAGCUGCUGUGUGUGAAAACCUGACUCCAGUCCUCCCAGCCUCUAGGACCCUGCCCAGACCUGGCCUACCUUCUUCCUCACCGCCACUGGAAAAAAACAGACGUCAAAAGCCUUAACAAAAUACUGUCUGAUAUAGCAAAAUGGAACAUGUUUCCUACUAGAAGUAUAUGACCCGAAGGGGGAAAAAUCUGACUCAUUUUAAAAACAAUUGUUAGGGGUGUGUGUGUUUUGAGAGAAAGAAAUAGAAAAGGGCCAAUGUAUUUGCUAUUAAAAAAAUCUUCAAAAUAACAGAAAAAAUUUAAAACUAUGUACUCAAAAAAUGAAUUGCUUUUGUCGUAUUAGAAGUCUAGCCAACAGAAGUAAGGGGAUGGAGACUGAACCAACCAGAGGAGAAAAGGUGGAAGGCGCUGCCCCAGCAGAGACCAGAACAGGGCCAGAUAAAGUUAGGGUCAAAGAUCCACACCCUGUUUGGAAACUAAGCAAUCAACAAGUGUCAGUUGUUAUUUAGGUGCACCAAACAUUUUGGGGGGAAAUGUGAUUUCAGACACAGAUAAUUAUAUGAUAGGGGCCUAUUUGGCUUUCAGAGAAAAUUUUCAAGAUAAAUCAGUAGCUUUAAAUAAAAAUCUAAGUUUGUAAUCAAAGUUUUUCAGAAAUAGCAGAGAAACAUAUUUUCCUUUAAGUAGUUCUCUGUUAAUAGUCUCUAGUCUCAAGCAGUUUUAAUUUUAAAUAGGACUACCUCUAACUUUGUGGGGUCUGGGGCAAGGGUACAAAUAGAGGCCCAUACAGCAUAUACCUAGAUAUUUAAUUUUUUGUUUGUUUGUUUUUUGAGAUGGAGU
rnacentral:lncRNA from 1 species